AAGGGUCAACACUGCAAAUAUUGACUCUUGCAUCAACUUCAUGUAAUUGUCAAUAAAAGCCUUUGACACAUAUGAAAUGCUUGUAAUUAUACUUCAGUGUUCCAUAGUAACAUCUGACAAAAAUAUCUAAAGACACCGAAGCAGCAAACUUUGUGAACAUUUAUUUUUGUGUCAUUCUCAUUUUUUUUGCCAGGACUUUAUAUCAUAAGAAUGUUAAAGAUUUGUUGUGAACACUUGCAGUGCUUUUGUCCAAAUAUAGCCUUUAUCACCAGGUUUUUUAGAAAUCCUUGUGGAAAGAUUCUUAGAAUGAGGAGGGAAUCAACAGGGAAUCUGGAUUCUCCAACAAGAAUGUCACUCAUGGCUCCAUCUUCAAACUCUUGGUUAGUUUAUUACUGGCCAACGAAAUAUAGAGGUCCUUAGGCAAACAUCUAGGAUCAGAAUACAGUACAUUACUGUACAGUUCAGACAUUGUAGAGGUUGUCACAGAUCUAGGCCUGGAUCAGCUUACCCAAACCAAAACCUAACUUAAAGAGCUUGGUACAUCCAUUUAAAAAAAAAAAACUUUUAAAUUAGUCAUUUAUUGCCCAUGGUUCUUGUAGAAUAUAACUUAAAACUGCCUUGUGACCAGGUCAACAGUCGUUCCCCAUCACAACAUUGAAGAAUAUUACUUCAAAAAUGUGUUAUGGCUGCAAUCCCGCUAACGGGAUCGAUAUGACAACUACCAGUGAAAAUAGGGCGCCAAAUUCAAACCACAGAAAUCUCAUAAUUACAAUUCCUAAAACAUACAUGUGUCUCAUACCAUUUUAAAGCUACUCUCGUUGUUAAUCCCACCAAAGUGUCUGAUUUCUAAUAUGCUUGUCAGCAAAAGCACUACAAACAAUUAUGUUAGGUCUCCACCAAACCACAAAAAGCACAGCCAUUUUCCAGUGAAAUAUAGCAUUCACAAAAAGCAGAAAUAAAGAUAAAAUUAAUCACUAACCUUGAAUUAUCUUCAUCAGAUGACACUCAUAGGACUUCAUGUUACACAAUACAUGCAUGUUUUGUUUGAUAAAGUUCAUAUUUAUAUAAAAAAAAUCGGAGUUUACAUUGGCGUAUUAGAUUCAAUAGUUCCAAAAACAUCAAGUGAUUUUGCAUAGCCCCAUCGUUUCAACAGAAAUUCUCAUCAUAAAUGGAGAUGAUAAUACAAGUUAUACACAUGGAAUUAUAUAUAUACCUCUCCUUAAUGCAACCGCUGUGUCAGAUUUCAAAAAAGUUUACGGAAAAAGCAACACAUGCAAUAAUCUGAGACGGAGCUCAGAACAGAAGCCAAAUUAGCCGCCAUGUAUUAGUCAACAGAAACCAGAAAAUACAUGAUAAAUGUUUCCUUACCUUUGAUGUGCUUCAUCAGAAUGCAGUCCUAUGAAUCCCAGGUCCACAAUAAAUGCUUGAUUUGUUCGAAAAUGUCCGUUAUUUAUGUCCAAUUAGCUACUUUGGUUAGCGCAUUUGGUAAACAAUUCCAAAGUCACAAAGCGUGUCCACUAUAGCGUGACGAAAUGUCCAAAAGUUCCGUAACAGUCAGUAGAAACAUGUCAAACGAUGUACUGAAUCAAUCUUUAGAAUGUUGUUUACAUAUAUCUUGAAUAACAUUCCAACCGGAGAAUUAGAAUGACUUCAGAUGACCGGUGGAACACUGGUCCGUCCCCUGUGAAUGCGCAUAGUGAAAGCAUGGUCAACUCAUGGCAGUGGUGACUAUUUCCUUUCUCAAUCGACCCCCCCUUCACAUUAGAGUCAUCAGACAAAGUUCUAUUGACUGUUGACAUCUAGUGGAAGGCGUAGGAAGUGAAAACUCAUCCAUAUCUCGCUGUAAUUUCAAUGAGAGCUUGGUUGAAAAUCUGCCUCCCCCCAGAAAAAAAACCAGGAAGUGGAAUUUCUCAGGUUUUUGCCUGCUGUAUGAGUUCUGUUAUACUCACAGACAUAAUUCAAACAGUUUCAGAAACGUCAGAGUGUUUUCUAUCCAAUACUACUAAUAAUAUGUAAAUAUUAGCAACUAUGACUAAGGAGCAGGCCAUUGAAUAUGGGCACCUCUGUGCACCUUUCAUCCAAACUACUCAAUACAGCCCCUGCAGCCAAAAGAAGUUAAAACUGCCUUGUGACCAGGUCAGCAGUCGUUCCCCAUCAGAACAUUGUAGAAUAUAACUUAAAACUGCCUUGUGACCAGGUCAGCUGUCGUUCCCCAUCAGAACAUUGUAGAAUAUAACUUAAAACUGCCUUGUGACCAGGUCAGCAGUCGUUCCCCAUCAGAACAUUGUAGAAUAUAACUUAAAACUGCCUUGUGACCAGGUCAGCAGUCGUUCCCCAUCAGAACAUUGUAGAAUAUAACUUAAAACUGCCUUGUGACCAGGUCAACAGUCGUUCCCCAUCAGAACAUUGUAGAAUAUAACUUAAAACUGCCUUGUGAGCAGGUCAACAGUCGUUCCCCAUCAGAACAUUGUAGAAUAUAUCUUAAAACUGCCUUGUGACCAGGUCAACAGUCGUUCCCCAUCAGAACAUUGUAGAAUAUAACUUAAACUGCCUUGUGACCAGGUCAACAAUCCGUACCCCAACUAUACUAUACUAUGUUUUCACUCCAUUGUUUGUACACGAUGUAAAUGUUUAAAACAUGGUUAAAAGUAUCAUGUUGAUCUCAUGGAUGGUCAGUCCUUGCAUCCAGAGAUCCAUCUGUGAUGUUGAGAGUGGGUCAAUCUAUCCAGGCCCAUCCCUCAGCUGUUAACCACAACAAGAUGACCUGUUAGUUGCUUUUUAAAUCCCAGACUGCCCCUUUAAGGUUCCACCCUAGAACUUGGUCUCAGAGUAACCAUGGAGAUUCACUAGAGUCUUAAAACAAUCUAAACAACGUCUACAUUCAAUGGUGUGUGUUUUAUAUUCUAUUCUGUUGCACUUUUACAAGUUGUGUAUUUUAUACUUUUAACCUCAUAGUCCGACCAAACCCGUAUGCGGUAGCGUAACUACAGCCUCAAGCUCAUUAGCAUAACGCAACGUUAGCGAUUUCUAAAAAUCGCAAAUGAAAUGAAAUAAAUAUGCCUGUUCUCAAGCUUAUCCUUUUCUUAACAAUCCUGUCGUCUCAGAUUUUCAAAAUAUGCUUUAGAACCAGAGAAAAUCACUAAUUUGUGUAAGAGUGGUGAUAGCUAGCUUAGCAUUAGCGUUAGCAUUUAGCACGCAACAUAUUCACAAAAACCAGCCAAGGAAUCAAAUAAAAUAAUUUACCUUUGAAGAACUUCAGAUGUUUCAACGAGGAGACUCUCAGUUACAUAGCAGAUGUCCAGUUUUUCCUGAAAGAUUCUUGUGUAGGACACAUCGUUCCGUUUUGUUACUAUGCAUUUGGCUACCGAAACUAACCGAAAAUUCAGUCACCUACAUGUCGAACUUUUUCCGAAUUAACUCCAUAAUAUCGACUGAAACAUGGAAAACGUUGUUUGAAUCAAUCCUGAAGGUGGUUUGUCAUAUUUCUCUCCAUUGAAAGCACCGUCCUUGUAGCCUGGUUUGUUCUGAGAUUUGAAUGGAAAAAUACCGGGACCUGACUUUUGCGCACCGAUUGCCACGCAGACACCAAGCGGGACACCUGGUAAAUGUAGUCCCUUAUGGUCAAUCUUCCAAUGAUAUCCCUACAAAUAUGUCACAAUGCUGCAAAGACCUUGGGGAAACAAGAGAAAGAGUCCGUUCAUUCCUGUCGCAUUCACAGCCAUAUAAGGCGAUCAUGGAAAACGUAGCCUCAGAAAUCCUGUGCAUUUCCUGGUCGGUCAUACAUCUUGGUUUUGCCCGAAGCAUUUGUUCUAAGGGACUCACAGUGAAAAUCUUUGCAUUUCUGGAAACGUAAGACUGUCUUCUUUCCAAAACUAUCAAUUCCAAGCAUAUUCGAGCAUCUUUUCGUGACAAAAUAUUGCGCUUAAAACGGGCACGUCUUUUUAUCCAAAAAUGAAAUACUGCCCCUAGAGUCUUAACAGGUUAAAGAAUGUACCAUUUCCAAGACAUUCUAUCAAGCAUUCUGAAUGUAAGCACUUAGUGUUGUACUUGACUGUGUACUCUGUAGUGUGUGUGUAUGUGGGUGUGUUUGGGUGUGAGAGAGAGAGAGAGAGGAUGUGUUUCAAAAAAUUUUGACACAAUAAAUCGUUGCGACAAUAA